rnacentral:rRNA from 1 species
CUGCCCUAUCAACUUUCGAUGGUAAGGUAUUGGCUUACCAUGGUUCAACGGGUAACGGGGAAUUAGGGUUCGAUCCGGAGAGGGAGCUGAGAAACGGCUACCACAUCCAAGGAAGGCAGCAGGCGCGCAAAUUACCCAAUCCCGACACGGGGAGGUAGUGACAAUAAAUACUGAUACAGGGCUCUUUUGGGUCUUGUAAUCGGAAUGAGUACAAUUUAAACCCCUUAACGAGGAACAAUUGGAGGGCAAGUCUGGUGCCAGCAGCCGCGGUAAUUCCAGCUCCAAUAGCGUAUAUUAAAGUUGUUGCAGUUAAAAAGCUCGUAGUUGAACCUUGGGCCUGGCUGGCCGGUCCGCCUCACCGCGUGUACUGGUCCGGCCGGGCCUUUCCUUCUGGAGAGCCCCAUGCCCUUCACUGGGUGUGCGGGGGAACCAGGACUUUUACUUUGAAAAAAUUAGAGUGUUCAAAGCAGGCCUUUGCUCGAAUACGUUAGCAUGGAAUAAUAGAAUAGGACGUGCGGUCCUAUUUUGUUGGUUUCUAGGACCGCCGUAAUGAUUAAUAGGGACAGUCGGGGGCAUCAGUAUUCAAUUGUCAGAGGUGAAAUUCUUGGAUUUAUUGAAGACUAACUACUGCGAAAGCAUUUGCCAAGGAUGUUUUCAUUAAUCAGUGAACGAAAGUUAGGGGAUCGAAGACGAUCAGAUACCGUCGUAGUCUUAACCGUAAACUAUGCCGACUAGGGAUCGGGCGAUGUUUCUAUCUUGACUCGCUCGGCACCUCACGAGAAAUCAAAG